ensembl:snRNA U6 U6 spliceosomal RNA
GUUUUAAGCCCUUCGGGACAGGAGCAGGGUAACGAUACAGAGAAGAUUAGCAUGGCCCCUGCGCAAGGAUGAAACAGGAAGUUUUAAGCAAACAGGAAAACUG